GACCCUAUAGCAAGGAUGAAUGAGGCGCUAUACGGACUGCCAAACUCUACUGCUAAAGGGCAACUGGAAUAUUUCUUCUGUCUGCUGUUCAUAAGAUGCAUUUUCAGAAUGUUGAUUAAAUAGCUAUAAACAUGUGGACCUACCACUACUCAUUGACUAUAGUUUAGAAUACAGAUAACAUAUUUGCAUUUACUCGUAACAAUCCAUAUAAUCAGAGUUAUUUCUCAUGCAGAAAAAACAUUCCAAAGCUUGUGCUUUCCUUUAUUCCAAAAACCCCACACACCAGCUUGAGGGCUAUUAUCACCAUGGGCUGGGGCAAAUGCAUGGCCUGUGUCUUGUUCUCUGUCCUUUGCUACAGUAUUCUCUGGGAUAGAUAUCCAUUUUGCUGAAGGUGCUAUCUGACUAUAGAAUACACACUGUCAAGUACACCAUGUGGACCUUUUUAGGAUUUUCACUAUUUCCAUCUCUUCCAGCAGCAGGCAGAAGCAUCUGUGAACUUGGAAUCUAUCUUCACUGUUGAAUUUAAUUUUGGUAUACAAGCAAGUAAUGAUUUAGUACCAUGAGUGAGUUUUACAUGCAAUGUUAAGUUGAUUAGCCAUUAACACCCAUGAUUUCUUGGUACCCAAAUCCUGAAGUGCAGUAAUUUUAAAAAUUCUACAACAAAUAACACUGCAGAGUUUUAGAUUUAUUAUUAAAUGGUUUUCAGACCUGUUAACAAUUUAAAAAGCUAUAUCUAUUACCACCUUUUUCAGUCCCAGAUCUACGAACUCAGCCUAGGAUCCGAAUGACAAAAUAGGACUUUGCUAACAUCACUGCUAGUAAAUAUUUUGUAUUUGGAACUUUUAGCCAACAAUUCUUUUGAUGACACAGGAGCUAUAGCACAAUUAAGCUCACUUUAUAGCAUUACAGAACCAAAAUAGCUAACAGGGUAAAUAGUAAUUUAUUGUAUUCAUAACAGUGAGAAACUAACUCUAAACACAUACAUAAAUAAAUCUCAAAAAAAAGCUACUAUUUAUAAGUAUUCAGGAAAAUAACUGUCAGCACAUUUCAGUGUAAAGGUCUAACCUUUUGAAUAAUUAGCCUGUUGAUCUAACCAAAAAGGAUUAAUGUAAGUAGCCAAGAGCCAUGUGGGUGCAUCAAGUGUUAGUGCAGAAAACCAGAGUUCAUAAUAAAUACUAGGGUUGGAAAGAAUCUCAAGUCAUGCAGUCCAUUCCACUGAAUCAAUGCAGGACACUGGUCAAAUUUCUACAGCACACAUGUUCAUUCCCUCUUUAGCUUUAAUCUCAAGUGGUAGCCUAAUAAUGAUAAUUCAGCAACUUUCCUUAGCAAAUCAUUCUGUUGUCUGAGCUUACUGUUAAAAGGUGGUCCAUGAUUGUGUUUACAUUCUUCUUCUGUUUUAGGGCAUCAUUUGCAACAGUGUUUACCAAAUAAAAUUAUUUCCAUUGACUUCCUUUCUUUGGUAGCUAUGAUUUUUAUAUUCCCAAGGAAAGAUCUUUUGUGGAAGCUGUACAAAUCCAGUUAUUUCAACCUCUCACCAAAGUUAAUAUUUUUUUAAAUCUUUUACUAUAUUUGUCCUGCUUUUGGAUUUUCAAGGCACAAGGCAACAUGCUGCUACACAACUGAGAUCAGAAUCGACCCCUUACACAAUGCUAUGUUGCAGAGAAGAGGCUGUAUGUGUUUUAUAGUCCAGUGUUCCAACUUCCACAUUGGCAGACAUUUCACAGAAUGGAUAAUUUAGUAAGUUUAAAAUCUGGACCAAAGCAGCCACUGUAACAUCCUUCACACCUUGUAGUAAAAACCUUGAGUUUAAAUAUAUAAAUGUUAAAUCUGGCAGCAAGUCAGAGCAAAUUUUCUUACUACAACACACAUGGGAUAUUAACAUGUGGUGUGUCUCUUAAAAAAGGAUUAGUUAAGAGCAAUCAACUUGUCUUCAUAUUCAAAAACCGAGUAAAAAAUGGAAGACAUAUAUAUAUAUAUAGUAUAUAAACUAAAUCCAUUCAGCAGAACAAUUUAAUUAUUGUUGAAAACAGCAUAAAUGGAGAAAAUUUUAGAAUUCUAAAUGAUUUAAUGUAUGAUAAUGUUCUGUUGAUAUAUAAAUAGGGACAUUAGCUGCUCUAAUCAUACAAUGUAUUCGUAACAUCAAAUUUAAAAAAUAAAUCCAGGUCUGAAAUCUUGUAAUUUUUACUCAGUGACACUGUAACAGCCGUUAUAUGUAGUAUUUGUUUCUAUUUUGAUGUUCUUCCACUUAUUUAUGAAAAAUUGUCAAAAAUUGUGUAAAAUAAAAGCCAUUAUAUUUUCUUAUUACACCAUCAUUGAUGUGAACAGGAAAUGAUCACAAUCUUUUUCUAGUGGUAAUGAUAGCAGCCUACCAGUCCCACUCUUCCUGAAAGAUAUUGGGGAAGAUUUAAACCCUCUGUGCUUUUAAGGGAACAAUUUAUUUAGAUAUUUGUCAGCAAAAUUUGUAACUCCCAUGGGCCCACGCUAAGAUGAGUCCCUGGCUCCCUAUAGAGGUAAUGUAAGGAGAAUGGAAAUCGAUGCCUGUUCCCUACUCUCAGCUGAAGACAUGCCCAUAGAUGCCCUGCCAACACCACACAAGGAGAUUCCUUAAACUCUCCAUCUCCCAAAAAGUUCAUGUUUUUUCAUUAAGAAAAGCACAACUUAGCCUUCCUAUAUAACUGAGUUUAAGAUAUGAUUACUGCUUUCUGAGCUAUGAAUUAGAAUGUACUACCUUAACAUAUAGUCAACUCUAUGGAUAAAUUUUUUUGGCGGUUGUAGAUGUGUUAGAAUAGAUGAGUUAUUUUAUGUGUAAAAUCUGGAUAUUCUGACCAAGUAUCAUUAAAGAAACCUUGCCAUAUAGCAGUGUGGAGAUCUUGGGUUUUCAUAUACUAUUUACCGGGCAUUUGAGGUUAUAUGUAUUUUCUGAGCUCUGAGGAGACAUAUUCUCUAUCCUUAUUAUCCUGUUUUAAUUAAGUCGCCUGAAAAAAACAUUUGUCUUUGAAGUACGUUUUAGAAGAUCUUUCAAUAACGCCCAGUGCAACUGAGGUAGUAAAAAAAUCUCUCCCAUAUCUCACACUCAUAUUCUCAUUUACUUAUUGCAGCACUUGAACUGGCUCAGUAGAUUAUCUUGUGCAAAAUAAAAACAAUGAG